ensembl:lncRNA
GUUCUAUUGGCCUGCCUGUUUUUAUGCCAGUAUCAUGCUGUUUUGCUUGCUAUAACUUUGUAUUAUAUUUUGAAAUCAGAUAGUGUGAUGCUUCCAGCUUUGCUCUUCUUGCUCAAGAUUGUUUUGGCUAUUUAGGGUCUCUUGUGGUUCCAUAAAGUUGUAGACUUGUUCUUUUUUUUUUAAUGCUUCUGUGAAGAAAGUGAAUGGUAUUUUGAUAGAAAUUGCACAGAAUUUGUAGAUCAGUUUGGGUUGUAUGAACAUUUUAACAAUAUUAAUUCUUCUAAUCCAUGAACAUGUGAUAUUUUUACAUUUAUUUGUGUCUUCCUCAAUUACUUUAAUUAUUAUGUGAAGUGAAAUAAGUCAGGCACAGAUGGACAGAUACCACAGGAUCUCACUCAUAUGUAUAAUCUAAAAACCUUGAUUUUAUAGAAGUAGAGAGGAGAAUGGUGGUUAUCAGAGGCAGGGUAGUUACUGAGAGGGAGAGUACGGAGAUGUUGAUGAAGUGAUACAUGGUUAUAGUUAGAUAGUAGGAAUAAAGUUCAGGGGAUCUAUUAUACUGCAAGGUUACUAUAGCUAGUGACAAUCUAUAGUGUUCUUAAAAAAUGUAGAGAGUGGAUGUUAUGUGCUAUUGCCAUGACAAUAACUACAUGAGGUAAUGCAUUUGUUAAUUAGCUAGACUUUGCUAUUCCAUAAUGUAUACAUACAUCAAAACAUCACGUUACACAUGACAAAACAUACAAUGUUAUCCAUCAACUUAAAAUAGUAAAUCUAGGAGCUUUUUGGAGGUGUCUUUAGGGUUUCCUAAGUAUGUGAUCUUAUCAUCAGCAAACAACAACAGUUUGACUUCCUCUUUACUGAUAUGGAUGCCAUUUAUUUCUUUCUCUUGUCUGAUUGCUCUGGCUAGGACUUCCAGUACUAUGUUGAAUAGAAGUGGUAAGAAUGGGCGUCCUUGUCUUGUUGCAGUUCUCAAGUGGAAUGCUUUUAACUUUUCCUCGUUCAGUGUAAUGUCGGUUGUGGGUUUGUCAAUAGGAUUGGUACCAAUUCUUUGAAUGUCUGAUAUAAUAUAAUUCAGUUGUAAAUCUCUCUGGUCCUGGACUUUUUUUUGGUGGAAUAGUGUCAAUAGGAUUGGUACCAAUUCUUCUUGGAAUGUCUGAUAUAAUAUAACUGAGCUGUGAAUCUGUCUGGUACUGGACUUUUUUUUCUGGGCAAGUUUUAAAUUACCAUUUCAAUCUUACUGCUUGUUAUUGGUCGAUUCAGAGUUUCUAUUUCUUCCUGGUUUAUUCUAGGAGGGUUGUAUAUUUCCAGGAAUUUUCCAUCUCCUCUAUGUUUUCUGGCUUAUGCAUGUAAAGGUAUUCAUAGUAACCUUGACUGAUCUUUUGUAUUUCUGUAUUAUGGGUUGUAAUAUCUCUCAUUUCAUUUCUAAUUGAACUUACUUGGAUCUUCUCUUUUCUUGGUUAAUUUCACGAAUGGGGUAAUCAAUCUUAUUUAUCUUUUCAGAGAACCAACUUUUUGUUUCAUUUAUCUUCUGUAUUUUUUUUUUGUUUCAUUUAAUUCUUUUCUGAUCUUUGUCAUUUCUUUUCUUCUGCUGGUUUAGGUUUGGUAUGUUCUUGUUUCUCUAGUUCCUUGAGGUGUGACCUUAGAUUGUCUAUUUGUGCUCUUUCAGACUUUUUGAUGUAGGCAUUUAGGGCUAUGAACUUUCCUCUUAGCAAUCCUUUGCUGUAUCCCAGAAAUUUUGAUAGGUUGUGUCACUAUUAUCAUUCAGUUUGAAGAAGUUUUAAAUUUCCAUAUUGAUUUCAUUCAGCAAAGUUUCAGGAUACAAGAUUAAUGUAUACAAAUCAGUAACUCUGUUAUAUACCAACAGUGACCAAGCUAAGAAUCAAAUCAAGAACUCAGCGCCUUUUAUAAUAGCUGCAAAAAAUAAAAUACUUAGGAAUAUACCUAAUCAAGGAGAUGAAAGACCUCUAGAAGGAAAACUACAAAACACUGCUAAAAGAAAUCAUGGACAACACAAACAAAUAGAAAUACAUCCCAUGCCCAUGGAUGGGUAGAAUCAAUAUUGUGAAAAAGACCAUACUGCUAAAAGCAAUCUAAAAAUUCAAAGCAAUUCUCAUCAAAAUACCAUCAUCAUUCUUCACAGAACUAGAAAAAAAAAAAAACAAAACCCUAAAAUUCACGUGGAACCAAAAAAGAGCCUGCAUAGCCAAAGAAAGACUAAGCAAAAAGAACCAAUCUGGAGGCCAUAGUCACCAAAACAGCAUGGUACUAGUAUAAAAAUAGGCAUGAAGACCAAUGGAACAGAAUGGAGAACCCAGAAAUGAAGCCAAAUACUUACAGCCAACUGAUCUUUGACAAAGUAAAGAAAAACAUAAAUUGGGGAAAGGACACCCUAUUCAACAAAUGGUGCUAGAAUAAUUAACAAGCUACAUGUGGAAGAAUGAAACUGGAUCCUCAUCCUUCACCUUACACAAAAAUUGACUCAAGAUGAAUCAAGGACUUAAAUCUAAGACCUGAAACCAUAAAAAUUCUAGACAGUAACAUCGGAAAAAUCCCUUCUAGACAUUGGCUCAGGCAAGGAUUUCAUGAACAAGAACCCAAAAGCAAAUACAACAAAAACAAAGAUGAAUAGAUGGGGACCUAAUUAAACUAAAUUAAGCACAGCAAAAUUUUGUGAUUGUCUGUUUACCCUGCAGAGUGUUUCUUUUGCCGUGCAAAUUUGAGUUUUUGCACGGCAAAAGAAACAAUCUGGAGGGUAAACAGACAACCCACAAAGUGGGAGAAAAUCUUUGCAAUCUGUAUAUCUGACAAAGAACUAACAUCCAGAAUCUACAAGCAACUCAAAUCAGUGAGAUAAAAAACAGAUAAUCCCAUCAAAAAGUGGGCUAAGGACAUGAAUAUAUAUGUAUCAAAAGAAGAUAUACAAAUGACCAACAAACAGAUGAAGAAGUGUUCAACAUCACCAAUGAUCAGGGAAAUGCAAAUCAAAACUGCAAUGUGAU